rnacentral:tRNA from 1 species
GCGCCGGUAGCUCAGUGGCAGAGCGCCUCGCUUACACCGAGGUGGUCGCAGGUUCGAUCCCUGUCCGGCGCA